AAGCUGCGAAGAUGGCGGAGUAAGGCGUGCCGCUGCAAACUGGCCUCUGGGCCGGGGGCGAGCAGCCCCCGGGAGGCCGAGUGCAUCUGUUGGACCGUGCGAGGAGAAGAAAAAAAAUAUCGGCCAGAGGAGAGGAACUAACCGAACAUUCUUCCUCCCUACCUUAUAGAGGGGAGUGGUCAUCUACACUAAAGCAAAGUGUUAGGCGCGUCCGUGCGAAGAGACCACCAAACAGGCUUUGUGUUCCUUAUCACAGGAAGAAAAUUUUCCUUGACCUUUAGGUGCUUUUAUAUUCAUCUCAAAAACAAAAUUCUGAACUCAGGACUUGGCAAGCUGAAGUGCAAUGGCGCAAUCUCAGCUCACUGCAACCUCCGCCUCCCGGGUUCAAGCGAUUCUCCUGCCUCAGCCUCCUGAGUAGCUGACAUUAUAGGCACCUGCCACCACGCCCAGCUAAUUUUUGUAUUUUUAGUAGAGAUGGGGUUUCACCAUAUUGGGCAGGCUCGUCUUGAACUCCUGACCUCGUGAUCCGCCCACCUUAGCCUCCCAAAAUGCUGAGAUUGGAGGUGUGAGCCACCGCGCCUGGCCAGUGUGUCCUUUCUUAAUUGACAGUGACAUUAUAUCUGCAAAAUAGGCUUCAUACCUACUGUGUUAGUUUUAGUUUCCUAGGCCUGCUGUAACAAAGCACCACAAAUUGGGUAGCUUAGAAUAACAGAAAUUGUUUGAUAGUUAUAAAUAAAGGUCAGAUGUCUAAAACCAAAGUGUUGGCAGGGCCGUCCCUCUGAAGGCACUGAAAAAAAAAUUUCCAGUCCUUCUAAUUUCUUGUGGUUCCUUAACUUGUGGCAGCAUAACUCCAGUCUUCACAUGAAGUUCUUCCU
rnacentral:lncRNA from 1 species